rnacentral:rRNA from 1 species
AAGGGCGCACGGUGGAUGCCUUGACACUAGGAGUCGAUGAAGGACGGGACUAACGCCGAUAUGCUUCGGGGAGCUGUAAGUAAGCUUUGAUCCGAAGAUUUCCGAAUGGGGAAACCCACCAUACGUAAUGGUAUGGUAUCCUUACCUGAAUACAUAGGGUAAGGAAGACAGACCCAGGGAACUGAAACAUCUAAGUACCUGGAGGAAGAGAAAGCAAAUGCGAUUUCCUGAGUAGCGGCGAGCGAAACGGAACAUAGCCCAAACCAAGAGGCUUGCCUCUUGGGGUUGUAGGACAUUCUAUACGGAGUUACAAAGGAACGAGGUAGACGAAGCGACCUGGAAAGGUCCGUCGUAGAGGGUAACAACCCCGUAGUCGAAACUUCGUUCUCUCUUGAAUGUAUCCUGAGUACGGCGGAACACGUGAAAUUCCGUCGGAAUCUGGGAGGACCAUCUCCCAAGGCUAAAUACUCCCUAGUGAUCGAUAGUGAACCAGUACCGUGAGGGAAAGGUGAAAAGCACCCCGGAAGGGGAGUGAAAGAGAUCCUGAAACCGUGUGCCUACAAAUAGUCAGAGCCCGUUAAUGGGUGAUGGCGUGCCUUUUGUAGAAUGAAC